AGCAGCGGCAGCAGAUGAUGAUGAUGAUGGGCCCACAACAGCCGCCUUCAAAUCCCUUCGGCAAUCCUUACGGAGCCAGUGUCCAUCCAUAUGGCUCAGGUGUGCCACCUGUUAAAGCCUAUAAUCCAUAUUCAGGCUUUAGAUAGAAGCUUUGCAAGCCAGACACAUUCUUUAUCUGGAAACAUGAGGAAGAAAGAUGUGCGAAUUGAUCAACUUUUAGAUUUUGAGAUUGGGGAAGAGUCGACAGUUGUGUACAAUAUGUUUGUGUAUGUGUUCAGUAGUCAGUUAGAAUGAGAUUCUUCUUCUUCAAUAAUGAGCGGGAGGAAAGCUUUGAAUUAGUGAUUAUUUACAUUGAUGAAGGUU
rnacentral:misc_RNA from 1 species